GAUGAACGCUAGCGGCAGGCUUAACACAUGCAAGUCGAGGGGUAUAGUUCUUCGGAACUAGAGACCGGCGCACGGGUGCGUAACGCGUAUGCAAUCUACCUUUUACAGGGGGAUAGCCCAGAGAAAUUUGGAUUAAUACCCCAUAGUAUGUUAGAGUGGCAUCAUUUUAACAUUAAAGUUCCAACGGUAAAAGAUGAGCAUGCGUCCCAUUAGCUAGAUGGUAAGGUAACGGCUUACCAUGGCGACGAUGGGUAGGGGUCCUGAGAGGGCGAUACCCCAAACUGGUACUGAGACACGUACCCGCCUCCUACGGGAGGCAGCAGUGAGGAAUAUUAAACAAUGGGCGCAAGCCUGAUCCAGCCAUGCCGCGUGCAGGAAGACGGUCCUAUGGAUUGUAAACUGCUUUUGUACAGGAAGAAACACUCCCUCGUGAGGGAGCUUGACGGUACUGUAAGAAUAAGGAUCGGCUAACUCCGUGCCAGCAGCCGCGGUAAUAC
rnacentral:rRNA from 1 species